rnacentral:pre_miRNA from 1 species
UACGUACUCCCUCCGUCCGAAAAUACUUGUCAUCAAAAUGGAUAAAAAGAGAUGUAUCUAGAACUAAAAUACGUCUAGAUACAUCCCAUUUUAUCCAUUUUGAUGACGAGUAUUUCCGGACGGAGGGAGUAUUUA